rnacentral:rRNA from 1 species
GACGAACGCUGGCGGCGUGCCUAAUGCAUGCAAGUCGAGCGGGCUACAGUCUUCGGAUUGUAGCUUAGCGGCGAACGGGUGAGUAACACGUAGGUAAUCUACCCUUCAGAGGAGGACAACCUCAGGAAACUGAGGCUAAACCUUCAUACGUUCACUGGUAGGGAUACUGGUGAAGAAAGAGUUACCUUAGUGGUAGCUGCUGAAGGAUGAGCCUGCGGCCCAUCAGGUAGUUGGUGAGGUAACGGCUCACCAAGCCGAAGACGGGUAACCGGUCUGAGAGGAUGUCCGGUCACACUGGGACUGAGACACGGCCCAGACUCCUACGGGAGGCAGCAGCAGGGAAUCUUGGGCAAUGGGCGAAAGCCUGACCCAGCGACGCCGCGUGGAGGACGAAGCCCUUCGGGGUGUAAACUCCUUUUCUCAGGGAAAAGGAUGAUGGUACCUGAGGAAUAAGCCCCGGCUAACUACGUG